rnacentral:rRNA from 1 species
AAAAAUAAGGGCGUAUGGAGGAUGCCUUGACUAAGAAAGGCGAUGAAGGACGCGGCGUAACUGCGAUAAGCUCCGGGGAGGUGUGUAGCAACCUUUGAUCCGAAGAUUUCCGAAUGGGGAAACCCAAUACAGUAGACCUGUAUUACCUGAGCACUAGAUGCCAGGAGCGCACCCGCUGAAGUGAAACAUCUCAGUAAGCGGAGGAGUAGAGAACAAAAGUAAUUCCCCUAGUAGCGGCGAGCGAAACGGGAGGAGCCCAAACCGAUUGAUAUUUAUAUCCAUCGGGGUUGUAGGACAGAAACAUUUUUCUUUCUAAAAGCAGGGACACGACUCUUCGUGGAUCUGCUUUUGGGGGGAGAAGGGGAGUAAAAAAUUCAUUGGUUAGCCGAAGUUGCUGGAAAGCAACGCCAUAGCGGGUGAUAGCCUCGUAGGCGAAAACUAAUGAACUCUCUCGUUUCUGCACCUGAGUAUCUCAGUAAAUGAACAAGCUGAGAGAAUCCACCAGAACUAUCUGGUAAGGCUAAAUACUUUCUUAGAUCGAUAGUGAACUAGUACCGCGAGGGAAAGGUGAAAAGCAGGCCGAGAGGCCGAUGAAAUAGAAUCUGAAACCAUACGCCUACAAGGACUCGGAGCACGUUUUCGAACGUGUGACGUGGUGCCUAUUGAAGAAUGAGCCAACGACUUNNAGAAGUGAAAAGCUAAUCGAGCUUGGUAAUAGCUGGUUCUCUCCGAAACAGUUUUUGGACUGGCGGUAGUGAAAAGUAUCAGAGGGGUAGAGCUACUGGAUCGAGUGUAAUGGGGGCAACCUCGGCACUCGAAUCAAACUCCGAAUACUCUGAUUUAGAACGCUACUAGUUAGACUGCGGGGGCUAAGCUCCGUGGUCGAAAGGGAAACAGCCCUGAUCGCCGUCUAAGGUCCCUAAAUCUAUGCUAAGUGUUAAAGGUAGUAAUUCUCCAUUGACAGAUAGGAGGUUGGCUCAGAGGUAGCCAUCCUUUAAAGAGUGUGUAACAACUCACUAUUCGACGGAGAGUUGCGCCGAAAAUAUACCGGGGCUAAGCAUAGUACCGAAGACGCGAAUUCGUCACUUCCUUCGGGAAGUGGGGAGUGGUAGGAGAGCAUUCUGAUUGCGCUGAAGGUUUAUCUGUGAGGAGGACUGGAGCGGUCAGAAGAGAGAAUGUUGGCAUGAGUAACCACAAUGAUGGUGAGAAACCAUCACGCCGUAAAUCUAAGGUUUCCUCCGCAAUGGCAAUCAACGGAGGGUUAGGCGAUCCUAAGUCGAUGGCGAAAGCCGCAGAUGAAGGGUUAGCGGUUAAUAUUCCGCGCCAUCUACAUAAUUCGAUGGAGGGACGGAGAACAUAAGUUUGAGUGCCUUAAUGGUUUGGCAUUUCUUAUUUCAAGUCAGGUAUUCUAGGCAAAUCCGGAAUACUGCUUUAAUGCAACUGGCGGAGAUUGGAUGAAGAUCUUGCUUCGGCUUGGUCAACUCAGAUGAAGAGUCUUCCUAGAAAAGCUUCUAAGAUUAGUUAUGUAGAUAUCGUACCGUAAACCGACACAGGUGGAUGAGGCGAGUAGCCUCAGGCGAACGAGUGAUUUUUCCUUAAGGAACUCGGCAAAAAAGCGGCCGUAAGUUAGCGAUAAGGCCUGCCCACAGCAAUGUGGGCCGCAGCGAAAGUAUCCCUAGCGACUGUUUACUACAAACACAGCUUCCUGCUAACUCGCAAGAGGAUGUAUAGGAGGUGACACCUGACCGAUGCGAGAAGGUUAAUGCUGUCGGUGCAUGCAGCAAUGUAUGUGCUGAGCGGCUGAAGCCCUCGUCAAUGUCAGCGGUAACUAUAACCGUUCUAAGGUAGCGCAAUUCCUUUCCGGGUAAGUUCCGGAGCGCACGAAUGGUGUAACGACUGGGGAACUGUCUCAAGGAAAAGCUCGGUGAAAAUGCGAUUGCCGUGAAGACGCGGUGUACCUCUAACGGGACGAAAAGACCCCAGGAGCUUUACUAUAGCUUGGUAUUGAUGUUAAGGUUUGACUGCGUAGCAUAGUGGGGAGACUUUGAAGCGAUUCUUUCGGGAUUCGUGGAGUCGCCAGUGAAAUACCCAUCUUUCUUUCUUUACCAUCUAACUCCAACGGCAAAAACGUUGGAAGACAGUGCCUGGUGGGUAGUUUUAAUGGGGCGUUAUCCUCCUAAAGAGUAACGGAGGAGUUUAUUAAGGUCAGCUAAGGUCGGAUGGAAAUCGACCGCAUCGUGUAAAGGCAGAAGCUGGCUUGACUGCAAGUCCUACAAGACGCGCAGGUGCGAAAGCAGAACUUAGUGACCCGACGGUUCAUUAUAGAAAGGCCGGAGACAUCGGCUAAAAGCUACCCUGGGGAUAACAGGCUAGUGAGAUCCGAGAGUCCCUAUCGACGAUCUCGCUCGGCACCUCGAUGUCGGCUCGCCCUAGCGCGGGGCUGGAGAAGGUCCCAAGCGUUUGGCUGUUCGCCAAUUAAAAGGGCACGCGAGCUGGGUUUAAACCGUCGUGAGACAGGUUGGUCUCUAUCUGUUAGAGGCGUUGAUGUUUGAAGGAAGCUGCCCCUUGUACGAGAGGAUCGGGGUGGACGAACCACUGGUCUACCGGCUUUGGUACCAACUGAAAUGCCGGGUAGCUAUGUUCGGACGGGAUAACCGCUGAAAGCAUCUAAGCGGGAAGCCUCUCCUAAGAUUAGACAUCGUUUGAGACUCCUGGAAGACUACCAGGUUGAUAGGCUUCAAGUGUAAGCAUGGUAACAUGUGUUUA